GCAGUUGUUCUACUCGCGCCGGUGUGUCCGCAGACGUUCCUCUUGCAAACCUCGUUUGUUUUUGAAGUUCGUUAUCCAUUGAAAUUUAUCAAUUGAAAUUCCAUAAGAAAUUAAUUUCAACUUUACGUGCUACUCGGUAUUUAUGUUGUAAAUUCAAGGUGCGUUGCGUUACAUCUCUGGAAAAUUGAAUUCGAACUGCGGGGGACAUCUGUUGUAGUACGCCAUCGUUCCACAGGGGCUAAAUCUGAACCUGACAUCGUUGGAAAACCAUUCUUUCAUCAGAAUGUGUUUUGCACAUGAACCUUAUCAUCGGAAAACCAAUCUUUCAUCAGAAUGGGUUUUGCACAUGAACCUGACAUUGUAGGAGAACCAUUCUUCCAUCAGAUUGUUUUGCACAUGAACCUGAUAUCAGUGGAGAACCAUUUAUCAUCAGAUUGUAGGUAUUAAAUUUCUUUAUCAUUUUUAUUAAUAACUUUAGUGAUUAACUUAUAAAUUAACAGCACAAAUUGCAUUUUUGUGUGUCUAAAGACUAAUUUUGGCUUGUUUUAGGGCUUUACAACUGAACCUAACAUCCUAGGAAAAUCAUUCUUUCAUCAGAUUGUAGGGGUUUUGAACAUGAACCUGACAUUAUAGGAAAACCAUUCUUUCAUCAGAAUGGGAUUUGCACAUGAACCUGACAUCAUAGGAGAACUAUUCUUUCAUCAGAUUGUAGGGAAUUUGCACAUGUACCUGACACCAUAGGAGAACCAUUCUUUUAUAAGAUUGUAGAGGUUUUGCACAUGAACCUGACAUCAUAGGAGAACUAUUCUUCCAUCAGAUUGUAGGGAAUUUGCACAUGUACCUGACAUCAUAGGAGAACCAUUCUUUUAUAAGAUUGGGAUUUGCACAUGAACCUGACAUCAUAGGAGAACCAUUCUUUUAUAAGAUUGGAAUUUGCACAUGAACCUGACAUCAUAGGAGAACCAUUCUUUUAUAAGAUUGGGAUUUGCACAUGUACCUGACAUCAUAGGAGAACCAAUCUUCAAUUAGAUUGUAGGUAUUGAAUUUCUUUAUCAUUUUCAUAAGUUACUUUAGUAAUUAGUUUGUUAAUUAGCAGCAAAAAAAUGCAUUUUUGUGUUUUGAAAGACAAAUUUUGGCUUGUUUUAAAGGUUUUGCACAUGAACCUGACAUCAUAGGAGAACCAUUCUUAGGUGGGCUAGAAUACACGCAUAUGAAUGAAUGUAAACAAGUUUUUUUAUUGCUUUCAGCGAGCGUAUCUCAACAGCGAUAGUGACGUCGUGCAGUUGCUGUCGGCUGUGCAACUUAAGGCAUACGCAGUUCCAUUUUGGUUGUCGAGUGAAUCGCGCGUUUUCAGUGCGAUUACUUUCUGUUCUUCAAAUCAUAAUUAGAUAAAUUGCGAAAUGUUCAAUUAACAAUUGACGGCUGAAAUCGGAUGUGAGUGUGGAGUUAUCGGUGGUUCAGCUAUGCGCGUGUGAUGUUCCGUCGGCCGUCGGUGAUUGUUUUUCGCUUGUGGAAUUACAUUGCACUCGUGUUAAGCCAUGUAUAAAUAACCUGCGUGACCACACAUACUUAUUAAUAACUUGGAUUUAGGAUUAGUUCCUGCAAAUAGACAACGUUGGUGUCCUAGGAAGAAGUUUGUGAGUGCACGAUCCAUGCAGUUUACAAUAUGACGGGAGUGUUGGAGAUGCGCGCAUUUAAAGGCAAGUCUUUACUGCAACGGGUCUUGGAUAGCUGUAGAUAUUACUUUAUUUAAAAAAUGCAUAUAUUGUUAAAUAUAAUUAAUAAAACACAAUUUAAAAUUUCAA